UAGGGAAUAUUGCGCAAUGGAGGAAACUCUGACGCAGCGACGCCGCGUGGGUGACGAAGGUCUUCGGAUCGUAAAGCCCUGUCGGAUGGGAUGAAAAAUGGGAUAGCUAAUAUCUAUCUCACUUGACAGUACCAUUAAAGGAAGCACCGGCUAACUACGUGCCAGCAGCCGCGGUAAUACGUAGGGUGCAAGCGUUGUUCGGAAUUAUUGGGCGUAAAGCGCGUGUAGGCGGCUUGUUAAGUUGGAUGUGAAAUCCCUAGGCUCAACCAAGGAAGUGCAUUCAAAACUGGCAAGCUAGAAGAUGGUAGAGGAAGGUGGAAUUCCUAGUGUAGAGGUGAAAUUCGUAGAUAUUAGGAGGAAUACCAGCGGCGAAGGCGGCCUUCUGGACCAUUCUUGACGC
rnacentral:rRNA from 1 species